ensembl:ncRNA Y116A8C.471 ncRNA
UCUUUGGUUUCAAAAUUGCUCAUUUGCUUAAUGGAUGCGAUGCUCUUGGUUCUGGACAGACUUCAAUGCAAACCCGCUGCAUUCCUAGCACGUUCCUAGUGGCUCAAGUGCUUCUCGGACUCAUACAAUCAUCCAACAACCUUUACAGAAGAUAACUUUAAUUUUGAAUAAACUUGUUGAUUAUG